rnacentral:rRNA from 1 species
UACGGGGGGGGCAAGCGUUGUUCGGAAUUACUGGGCGUAAAGGGCUCGUAGGCGGCCAACUAAGUCGGAUGUGAAAUCCCCAGGCUUAACCUGGGAACUGCAUCCGAUACUGGAUGGCUUGAAUCCGGGAGAGGGAUGCGGAAUUCCAGGUGUAGCGGUGAAAUGCGUAGAUAUCUGGAGGAACACCGGUGGCGAAGGCGG